rnacentral:rRNA from 1 species
UACGUAGGGGGCGAGCGUUAUCCGGAAUUAUUGGGCGUAAAGGGCGUGUAGGCGGAUAUUUAAGUCAGGUGUGAAAACCCAGGGCUCAACCCUGGAUCGGCAUCUGAAACUGGGUAUCUUGAGGGCAGGAGAGGAAAGUGGAAUUCCUAGUGUAGCGGUGAAAUGCGUAGAUAUUAGGAGGAACACCAGUGGCGAAGGCGACUUUCUGGACUGCAACUGACGCUGAGGCGCGAAAGCGUGGGGAG